AUUGAACGCUGGCGGCAGGCUUAACACAUGCAAGUCGAGCGGGGUGAUGGUGCUUGCACUAUCACUUAGCGGCGGACGGGUGAGUAAUGCUUAGGAAUCUGCCUAUUAGUGGGGGACAACAUCUCGAAAGGGAUGCUAAUACCGCAUACGUCCUACGGGAGAAAGCAGGGGAUCACUUGUGACCUUGCGCUAAUAGAUGAGCCUAAGUCGGAUUAGCUAGUUGGUGGGGUAAAGGCCUGCCAAGGCGACGAUCUGUAGCGGGUCGGAGAGGAUGAUCCGCCACACUGGGACUGGGACACGGCCCAGACUCCUACGGGAGGCAGCAGUGGGGAAUAUUGGACAAUGGGGGGAACCCUGACCCAGCCAUGCCGCGUGUGUGAAGAAGGCCUUAUGGUUGUAAAGCACUUUAAGCGAGGAGGAGGCUCUUUUGGUUAAUACCCAAGAUGAGUGGACGUUACUCGCAGAAUAAGCACCGGCUAACUCUGUGCCAGCAGCCGCGGUAACAC
rnacentral:rRNA from 1 species